CUUGGGUACUCGAGUGGCGAACGGGUGAGUAACACGUGGGUGAUCUGCCCUGCACUUCGGGAUAAGCCUUGGAAACUGGGUCUAAUACCGGAUAGGACCACAUUUUGGAUGGUGUGGUGGAAAGUUUUUCGGUGUGGGAUGAGCUCGCGGCCUAUCAGCUUGUUGGUGGGGUAAUGGCCUACCAAGGCGUCGACGGGUAGCCGGCCUGAGAGGGUGUACGGCCACAUUGGGACUGAGAUACGGCCCAG
rnacentral:rRNA from 1 species